rnacentral:rRNA from 1 species
UACGGGGGGGGCAAGCGUUGUCCGGAAUUAUUGGGCGUAAAGAGCUCGUAGGCGGUUUGUUGCGUCGGCUGUGAAAUCCCGAGGCUCAACCUCGGGUCUGCAGUCGAUACGAGCAAACUAGAGUGUUGCAGGGGAGACUGGAAUUCCUGGUGUAGCGGUGAAAUGCGUAGAUAUCGGUAGGAACACCAGUGGCGAAGGCGGUUUCCUGGAGCUAACUUGACGCUGAGACGCGAAAGCUGGGGGAGCAAACGGG